ensembl:lncRNA
AAGUGCCCAGGUGAGUGAGCCGAUCAGGUUCCACACAGCUGGAAAUGGUUAAAGGCUCUCCAAUGGCCUCUCAAUUGAUUAGUUUCCUUCAGCCUAAUUUGCAGCCAUCUUAGCCAAGCCUUCAUAUUUCUUCCCUUUUCAACCCGGUCCCUCAUUUUCCACCUGGAGAAGUCUCUUCUCAAUCGCCUAGGCAACGGAGACAAGAGCUAGGACGCUGUCGCACGGGCCUAGCUUCUGUCAGAGAAGUGGAAGAGCUUUCUUGUAUGCCUUAUUAUGAAGAAAUGGCGAAUGGGAGAAAGUAGGUGAUAACUGCACAACUACGUAGUGACAGAUUUGGGACUGAAGCCAAGUUUCCUGCUUCAUUAUUCCAGUGUGCUUUCUUCUGCAUUGAGACCAACCACAGAACCUAGAAGAGUAGAAGGGAAAUUUCUCCUCCCCUGCAGUAUUGUUGGGCCUGUUGACCUCACUGUCACAACCUCAUCGAGUAUGACAUUCAAAAGAGCGAAGCCCCCUGGUACAUAGUUGUAUAUUCUUCGUUGUGGGUCCUUUUGUUGUGUCAUGUGGGACGCCGCCUCAGCGUGGUUCGACGAGCAGUGCCAUGUCCGUGCCCAGGAUUCGAACCAACGAAACACUGGGCCGCCUGCAGUGGAGCGCGCAAACUCAACCAUUUGGCCAUGGGGCCAACCCCGGUGCCAGGUUAUUCUGAUGGGAUCCAGAACUAAAUGAGAUAUAAACCUCAAACAGGUUAAACAUUCUGCAAGAUUGUAUGUAUUUUUCAAACGUGUUUACAACUGCUAUGGAUUCUCUUCCUAGAAAGUUGUGUUAUAUGUAUGUAGAUGCACAUGAUGUAUUUUUUUAACUUUUUAUUGAGAUUAUGAUAGUUUGCAACCUUGUGAAAUGUCAGUUGUACAUUAUUGUUUGUCAGUCAUGUUGUAGGUGCAUCACUUCACCCUUUGUGCCCACCCCCCCUUUCCCCUGGUAACCACUAAUCUGUUCUCUUUGUCUACAUUUUUACCUUCCACAUGUGAGUGGAGUCAUACAGAGAUUGUCUUUCUCUAUCUGAAUUAUUUCACUUAACAUAAUUCCCUCAAGGUCCAGCCAUGUUGUUGUGAAUGGGACAAUUUCAUCUUUUUUUAUGGCUGAGUAGUAUUCCAUUGCAUAUAUACCAAAUCUUCUUUAUCCAGUCAUCAGUUGAUGGGCACUUAGGUUGCUUCCACGUCUUGGCUAUUGGAAAUAAUGCUGAUGCACAGGAUAUUUUACUUACAAUUUGUUAUUUGUGAACCUUCUGAUACUCAUUCAAGGAUCCAGAUUAGACAUUCAAUGGUCCAUUUAUAAUUUAUGCAGUUGCAUUGUAAUUGUUGGAUAGCGUAUUUUUAAGUCACUGAGGUUGACUUAUAUUAGACACCUGUUGGGAUUUUGGCUCAACCGUGAUUGGAGUGAAGGAAUACCUGUGUCUCCUUUGAUGCCGCUUCAUUGGUGCUAAGUACAGGGGAAAUUCUCAAAAUUAUUCCCCAUGAUAAUUGCCUUUAUUGAAAAAUAGGUUAUUAAUGACAAUAAAUCAAAACAUGGCAUUUCAUAAUCCCCUGAUUCACUUGCCACACGUAAGAGCAUUUCUGUUUUUACUUGAGUUUUGGGGGAGGGCUCCUUUUACUCCAUCAAGCUCCCUUUCCCCAACCCUAAUCUCUUCCCUCUGCCAACAAAGUUGGAAUUUUCUGCCUAUCUUUGUAGUUUUUCUGUACCUUUCUUACCUUCAUGAAAAAAACUUUAUAUCAGUGAAUGGAAGAAAUUGAAAUUUGCUGUUGCCUACAAGUCCUUAGAUAGAGGACUACAUUAUUUCUCUAUUUCUUUGGGGUAGAAAUGAGUAUUUGGUGAAUAAAAUCUGGCAUAUGAAACUGGACAACAACAACAGCAACAAGAAUAACACCACCACCACCACAAACUUGAGAAAUUAAAGAAUUUAUUCAUGGUUCCUCUGAAAAUUACCUAAAUUCAUCCAUGCAUUCACAGUAUUAAGAAAUAACAUGAAACAAUAACUGAAUAAUUUGUAAAGAUCACUUCCUGAGUUUAAGAAGACCUCAGACAUUUUUACUCCCACAAAGGCCUAAAUUAUUAAAACACCUUGAAAUUAGCCUUGUGGAUAAUGUUGAUUACCUAAAGGAAAAAAAUCACAUACAACUAUUGGCUGCGAGCGUUGUUUGUCUUUGCAAGGCAAUGUAUUAAAAGUUUGGGCAUGUGAGAGAGAGCUGGUACAGUUACAUACCUCAGAGUGUGCUGUGGAUGGUAGAUUGUUUGCAAAGAGAGCUGAGGACCAAUGCUGGGUAUACGAAUUAAUGAUUUAGGGAAGCUUUUCAGACAUACAACCAAAAUUCCUGAUGGAGUAUUUCAGUUUAAACUCUACUGAAUUUGGGUACUCCCACAACAAAAUCUUCAGUCCUGCUUCUGUUGGAAAGAAUUAUUAAAGAAAUUUCCAGUUUAAGUUGAAAUGAUUAUGACAAGCCUGUCUCAUAACUACGUGGUGAAUGUCUAGACUUAGCUCUAAUUGGUCUUAUUUUAAUGGAUUUAUUGUUUAAUUGCUUGUGGGAAUGAUUUAUUCUUUCACAGAACUGAGAUUAAUGGCAACUGGCGGCUUUAUUGGCAUUGCUAUCAGAGAAAUGACCCAAAGUCUCAAAAUAGAAUUGAGAAGACAGAUUCUAGGCACAGAGGAAUGUCAGACUAAUAUAGCUUCAUGAAAACUGUUUUAAAAGUGUUGUUACUUCAGUGAUUUUGUAACAUGUCCAUUAAUACCAUUUUUAAUUCUUAUUUUUUAAUGUAUAGGGUUGAGACCAUACUAUAGCAUAUGAAUGUAAUUUCCUUUUAUAGAGUGCAUAAGACUGAUAUUUUAAAAAUGGAUUUAAAAACCCCAUAUUUAAAACUAUUAAUUUCAAACCACAGGCUUUCCCAUAUCCUCUGUAUAAUAAUAUAUUUUGGUAGAAGAUUGGAAACCUGUGUAGAAGAAUAAUAUAUGUUGAGUACUCAGUUUUGUUAGAUUGCUCUAUGCUAUUUGUGUGUAUUUGCAGUGCAUAUAAUGUCUGUGGAAAUUUUGUGUGGCAUUGUUAUUUGCAUAUUUUCAUCUGUUGGUAGAUAGACAAAAACUGAUAUCUCCUCUGGAUAGUCAUGUUAUUGCUGUGUGUUCUAUGUCAGGUCAGAUUUUCGUCUAACUAGCUUUGGAGGACAGGAGUUAGUGACGACUGCCAUUCUGCAUAUUGUAUAUUUUUCUGGGAUCUAUAAAUUCAUUGUUACAGUACAAAUAAAUAUUGUGAGAGGCCUCAUAUUUUCCAGAUAGUGAAGUUCAAUGAUGUGAGGGAAUACAUUUAAGUGUGAAAAACAUAAUUUAUAAUAUAUAAGAAAUUGUAUAAUAGCUAUUUGGUAUUACAGAAUGAAAACUCAAGAUUUCAGUGGACAAGAACCUAGAUAUUACCAAAAAAUAUAAUACUCUUUUUUUAUUGUGAACUAGAGUAUGUAUGUAGAAAAAAUUAUAAAACAAAUACUUGUUAUGUUAACAAAUAGUUCUGUGAACACUGUGUAGUCACCAUUGAGGUCAAGAAAGAGAAGCUAGCUAGCUCCCCGGGACCCCCAACCCCUUUUGUCCCUCUUUAAUCACA